rnacentral:lncRNA from 1 species
CCUAUUGCAAUUUGAAAUAUUCCACAGCAAACAAUCCAAAUAAUUCCAAAGAAACAGGAUGACACAAACUUAAAAUUAAUUACAUGAAAUUAUCCUUUACAAGUCAUAGCACUAUUCGAUAUUUAAGCAGGCAAAUCCAUAAAAAAAAUGUGCAGCAAACUGCUUCUCAUGUCUCACAUUGUUGACUACAUUGUCAAUCUUAGGAAAUGUACCUGGAAAUUGGAUGCAAAAGAGAAGAAAGUGAGGUCAGCAAAAAUUUAGGCACCAGCAAUUGAAAUUAAACAAACCAGCAGUAGAAACAGUUCAGCAACCCAGAUUUAUACCCCAAAACCAAGUUGAACCACUACAGAUUUCAAACGACCCGCUUCCAAACGCAUGCUUGGAUAUAAAGCAGUAAAACAAAACCCCAAUCGUGAUCAAAACACAACGCUUCAAUCCCAAUUCAACUAUUUCUAUGUCAAUCGGUUCAAAAUGGUCAUAGAACCUGAAUUGAUCACAGGCUACUGAUUUCAAAUGACCCACUUCCAAACCCAGGCUUGGAUAUAAAAUAGUAAAACAAAACCCCAAUCGAGCUUAGAACACAACACUUCUAUCCUACUUCAACUAUUUUUAUAUCAAUCGGUUUAAAAUGGUCUCAGAACCUGAAUUGAUCACAGGCUACUAAAAAUAGGCAAUACAACAGUAAAAUUGUUGGUGUUUCAAGGGUUUUGAGAUAAUUUUUGGGCUUCAAGCUAUGGGAAAUUUAUAAAGAUACCUUCAGAUUGUCCAACCCCCUUUUUGAGUGAUUUUAGCCCCUUUUUUAUAGCCAAAGUCUAGGGCAUCACUCCUAUUUUAUUUUAACCUAAGGUCCCCCUUUCAAUUUUUAGAUUUUACUUAUUUGGAACCUUAUUUCUUGACUUGUUUCGCAAGUUACUGCCGUAAUACUAUUGAUUUCUUAUUAAAGACCCCUUCUAGAAGGAUCUAAGGACUUCUACCAUUUUCUACCCAUUAUAUACUACCUAUAUUACCCUUAUUUAUUCCCAAUAUUACCAAAAAAACCUGAAAAGUCUAUAUUGCCCAUAAUGGUCCUAAAUUUAUUAGAAUUGAAUGUGAAAAUCCUAUACUGCCCUCAAGUUAUCUAUUUAGUGCCAAAGUUAACUACUAAGACUAAUUUCCAAAUCGUAAUAGUUAUAACCAAUCCAAAUUACACUACUCAAGGAUAAAGAAUCCAACUUCAGCAACCAAAUUAGAAACCAAACCAAAUACAGGGAAAUUAUUAUUCAAAACUCAGCAUUUGGUACUUCAAAGCACGUGAGCCAUUAAUCGACAUUUUGAACUUAAAAUAAUCAGGAGAUUACUGACACUAAUGAACAACCAUGAGAAUCCGAACAGUCAAGACCCUUUCAUAAUUGCAUGAAUUUAAACCAACAUUCAGAUUAAAAGGUCAAGCAUGAUAUUGCCUGAAUCAACGGACUUAUGGAUAUUAAACAAAACCUAUCGUCAAAUUUCACAAACGAAAUUAACAACCGUUCAGUAAUCAGACUAGAAAUAACAAGUUUGAGAUUUGCUAAGACCAUUCAAAUUUUAAAUUGACAUGGAAUAAACUUAACCUAAUUACUUACACAGGUAGAAAAACAAAAUAAUAAAAAGAAACGAACGAGGAGAAAUGGACUCACUGAUUCUGGUCUUUGACAGGACUGCCUUCGAACUUGAUUUUCAAUUGAGGUUGUAUGUAUAUUUUGCCCAAUAUAGACAUACAACAUCAAUUUGAAAUCGAGUUCAAAUCUUUGAACCUUCCCAAACAGGUUGGAACUCUGAACCCUAGCUUUGAGAUUAAAGGGGGUUUACUGGGAUUUGGAGAACUUAGGCUUGGGAUUUGGUAAGAGGAGAGUGGGUAUGGUGUAUAAGGGACGUUGGACGGCAGCCACCGCCGUGCAUGGUGGAUCUGCCCUCUUCCAAUGCAUAUUCGGAAGUUUCAGACAUAUUCCAGGGUGGCCAAUGACAAGGUUAGGAAGAAGAGGGUGAGGGGGUCCACUGGUGUUGAUUUGGAGGUCGUUGGCCACCGGCUGCCGCCGUGGACGGCGAAGCUGCCAUACUUUAAAUGAAUAUUCAACGGGCUAGGGAGGGUUUCGAAGGGUGAUCUCUAUGGGAUUGGUAAAAGGAGGGUGAGAGGGUUCUAGGGUGUAAAUUUGGGAGUUAUUGGUGUUAUGUCGCCAUCGCCGGCGGACGGUGGUGUUACGUUGAUUUGAUGGUUGUCGGCGGAACUGUACGAGGAGAACCUAUUUGGUCUCUAAAACUAUUACACAGCUUUGGACACUUUUAUUUAAAGUGUAAAGUCUAAUCUGGGCCAAUGGAUCAGAGGUGAUAAACGGCCAGGAUUGAACGUCACCAAACGACGUCGUUUUGGCGCCUGGGGUUUGGACUAGGUAGGGGUUAUUGGGUUGGUUUAUGGUUUUGGGCUGAGUAUAAAUUUUAAAAUUGGCCCAAAUUGGUCUUCUAAAAAAGACCUAUUUUUAUUAUUACCAAAUUCCUUUUAUCUUUGUUCAAUUUUUAUUUAAUGCAAAAUCAGAAUAAAGACGUGAUUAAUACUUUUACUAAAUUUAUUAAUUUCCUAAAAUCAACUAAAUCCUAAUUAAAAAAUAAUACUAUGUAAAAUUUGAAAUUUCAAUAAUAAAAAUGCAAAAAGAAACGAUUUUGUUAUUAUUUGUUUUUCCGUUCUAUAAAUCACUGAACCUAACAGUGUUAAAACUAGUAUCCUAAAUAUAAAAAAUCAUUUUUUGUACUUUUUAAUAAAUUAAAAUGCAAUUAAAUUACAAAAAUUCAAAUAAUAAAAGAAAGAAGCAAAUGAAAUCACACAAUUAAUAUGGAAAAAUGCAAAUAAACACAAGUCAGAUGAUUAAUUCCUAAGAAUGCAAAUAAAUAAAAAUCACAUAAUUAAUUCCUAAAAAUGCAAAUAAAUACAAAUCACAUAAUUAACUCCUAAAAACGGGAAUUUGCUCUCUGAAAAUUCGCCGUCACUAUUUAGUGAAUAGUGUUUCCGUCACUAUUCAUCGGGCAUAUCGCCGGAAUCCGGUGGUGGAUUGUCAAAAUUUUGGUGUCACGACAUCCCCUUUUUGUUGCGAACAAUCCCCAAUAGAUUUUUUCCUCAAAUCUAUAGCCAAUUUUCCAAAAUCUUAAAUCUUGUUUUAUUCGAUUUACUAUAGCACUCUCAACUUCUGAAAUUUUCAGCGCUACUACUUUCCGAUAGAGUGUUUGUGAUGGAUCCUAGUUGACGUUCAUCACAACUAUGGAAGCUUCACCGUCUCCCCAGCCUUAUGCUGUGGGAGAGGAUAAUCAAAACCAUACUGAAAAUCAAACUUCUCAAGAUACAAAACAAACUUACGCAUCGCAACUUGUUCGACAACAUUAUGCGCAACAAACUCAAAUCUUGAACUCAGUCCUGCUACUUUUGAGAAUGGAAUACCUACAGUUGAAUUCACAGUAGAUGAAGUGAAUUCGUUCACCAAGAAGGAAGGUCUUCAACAAGCAGUUGUGAUUAAAUUCUCAUAUGGAAAACCCGAGCUUCAGGAGCAGAGACAGAUUUUACUAAAGCAACUCGAUGUCAAAGGUAAUUGCAAUAUAGGACAGCUAGAAUAUCGGCAUAUUCUGGUAAGAUUCGAUCUAUUUUAAUAUUUUGCUAAUGUCGUGUCAAGAACAACUGGUUAUGCUAGGGCAAAAGGAGACAAGUUCUUCAUUAGGACAUUCCCAUGGACAAUGGGAUUUAAUCCACGUGAAGAAACGUCAAAAGUUGUCGUUUGGAUAUCCUUUCCUAAACUGCCAGGAAAUUUCUUCGCAAAAAAAUCCUUAAUGUCAAUCGCUGCUGCACUGGGAAAGCUUCUAGCAGUAGAUAAGGCUACUAAAGAUCGAACGAGACCUAGUACGGCUCGAGUAAAAGUCUUGGUUAAUCUGCUAGACAAACAUUCAAAGAAAGUAAAGAUCAAGAUACUUCACAAAAAAAUCCUUAAAGUCAAUUGUUGCUCCAGUGGGAAAGCCUUUAACAGUAGAUAAGGCUACUAAAGUUCGAACAAGACCUAGUACGGCACGAGUAAGAGUCUUGAUUAAUUUACUAGACAAACAUCCUAAGAAAAUAAAGAUCAAGAUAGUUGAUAUCAAAUCUGGAAAAAUAGUCGAAUACGACAAGUGUAUCGUCUUUGAUAACCUUCCUAAAUACUGCACGUCAUGUAAUCAUCAAGGUCAUGAUGUAAAAUCGUGCCGUUGGAGUAGAGAUGAAUUGAAUGAACAAGCAUUUCAUGAUAGAGAAUCUGAAGGCCGGGGCAGGUUGACUAAAUUAGGAGUUGAUGCCAGAGAGUACCUAAAUGCUAAUCUUGUAGCACGAUGCAGUGAAGGGGUUCUUCCUAAUGUGAUUGCUGAUGCAGGACAAAAUAUUCAUUCUGUUCCAAUUGUUCCUACUGCAGAAGCUCAUUCAAUGCCAAAUUUUGAUAUUGCACAGCUGUGUAAAAAUCCAUCUGCUAUUCCAUCGAACUUGAAUGUUCCUAGUGAAAAGGUGCUGUCAAAUUUGGCUGUUGCAUAUGCUGAGGCUGCAUAUCACAAUGCAAACAGGAUUGAACACUUGUUGUUUGAGCAGCAACAUUUGUUGCACAAUAACAACAAUAAGAAACCUACACUGUUUUGUCAAGUAAAUGAUACAAAUUUGGAGGUUCUGGAUCCUGCCAAAGCUGUUAUAGAUUCUUCAGUUUCACCAGUUCAACUAGGGGAGAAGUCGACAGUUCCAAAACUGCUUGAUGCUUCAAACAUUUCUGCAGGAUGCAAUGUUUUAAAAAAAAGUAUCAGCUCUAAGUAUAUCUAAUCAUUAUAAUUCAAAUGAAUUAUGAAAAGGGCAGCAACCCAAUUCCACUGUACAACAAUUAGUAACAGGAAAGGUGAAUGUCACAGCUUGUGUACAUCCAAUUUUUAAGCCAUAUAUAGCAGGGGAUGGCAAUAUAUGCACUGGGCAAAAUGAAGUGGUGGAUGUCCAAUGUGAUGUUAUGGAAUUGGAAUUUGCAGCGUCUGGUACAAAGGAUACCAACACUGCCAACUGGACAGUACAAAAUGAAGCAUCUACACUUUCUUUGCAAUGUACUAUUGAAUGAGCUGCAUCAGAGAUUGACAACCAUGAUGCAGUGAAUGAAAUUCUUCAUAGAACAACAACUCAUACAGAUGAUGAUAUUGCGCAAACUUCGUUCACACAACAUACCUCUAACCAGCAUGGCAGGGUCCAACAAGGCUGUGUGACCAUUUUUACAAGUAUAGCUGAUGAUGCAGUCUCUAAUGCUGCCUUAGCUCAAACAAUUUUUGCUUUAGAGUCUACUUAUAAUCGACAACACACAAGGGAAGCUUGACAAUGGUCAUCGAUGUCCAACAAAGCAGUAACACAAAAAUCCAAAAAUAAAAUCCAGAUCGUAGAAAACAAUCCAGUUUUACCUUCAAUUUCAAACUCAUUUUGUCGUACUUGCCAAUGUCAAUGAUGAUGAAGGAAAAAUCUUGGGAGAGAAUUUGCAGCUUUUUGACAGUCAAAAUAGCUCACCGAAUACAGAGGCAAAGAAUACAGCUCAUGUUACUGCUCCAAAUAUGCAAAUAUAGUCCAAACUUCAAAGUUCUCCAACC